AAUUGAGGGGGGCUGCUCCUAGUACGAGAGGACCGGAGUGGACGCAUCACUGGUGUUCGGGUUGUCAUGCCAAUGGCACUGCCCGGUAGCUAAAUGCGGAAAAGAUAAGUGCUGAAAGCAUCUAAGCACGAAACUUGCCCCGAGAUGAGUUCUCCCUGAGACUUUGAGUCUCCUGAAGGAACGUUAAAGACGAUGACGUUGAUAGGCCGGGUGUGUAAGCGCAGCGAUGCGUUGAGCUAAUCGGUACUAAUGAACCGUGAGGCUUAACCUUACAACGCCGAAGCUGUU
rnacentral:rRNA from 1 species